AAAGGUUGACUCAAAUAUCCAAAGGUUAAUAGGGGUCAACUUGUCCCAUCCUAGGGUCAACUUAUAAAAUACUAGGAUCGACUCAAGAGCAAGUUAUUUUUCACUACUCUGUCUUCAUCCUAAGACCAUUCUAAGCUCGACUCAUCUGAAAUUGGGGUUGGCUCCUGUCCUACUAGGGUUGAUUUAUGAGAGGGUCAAAUUUUAUAGCUUUCUAUCUACAUCCUGAAACUAUUUUGAAGUCGACUCGACACCCGCUAAGGUCGGCUCAUGAAUUAUGCCAGCCUUUUUCAAGCAUGUCAAGGUUAACUCCUGAUAUUAUGGGGUCGGCUCUGGAACUUUAAAAUGAUUGUUUGCCUUCUAUUGAAGCCUAUGGUCAUUCAAGGAUCGGCUCCUAAAAUCUUUAAAGAACAUAAAGUUUGGUUACUUUAGAGAGGGUUUCUUUUUGAUUUCGUCUAUAACCUUUGAGCAUUAUAAAAACUCCUACCAUCAUUCUCUCAAACAUGCUUUAGGACUAUUUGUUCUCAAGCAUUUUGGCAUCAUCAAAAUUAAUUUUUAGAUCAAUAAUCUUAUUUAUCAAUUUUAUUCACAUACUUUUUCACUUUCCUAUCUUCCAUGGAUUGAGUAAAUUCUAAAUCUCCUAAUGAAGGCAAACGUUCUCAUUUUAUAAAUCCACUAGGCAAAAUCUUCAUCGUUGAUUCGCCAUGAGGUUUUUUUUUUCCUUUUUUGGUUGUGGUUUGGAGGUGGGUGGGUGGUAUACCGCAUAUAUGUAUCUAAUACA
rnacentral:lncRNA from 1 species